CUACGGGGCGCUCCAGUUAGGUAUAAUCUACAAUGCGCGCAAGCGUGAUAGUUUGAGCCAGAGUGCGUUUCUAUUGAAGUGCUUUUGUGAAAUGUAAAAAGUUUCGCGAAUAAGGACUGGGUAAGACUAGUGCCAGCCGCCGCGGUAAUACUAGCGGUCCAAGUCGCAGCCAUUUUUAUUGGGUCUAAAACAUCCGUAGCUUGCUUUGUAAGUUUCUUGUGAAAUAUUAUGUCUCAAGCAUGAUGCGCGCAAGAAGUACUGCAGAGCUAGAGACAGGGAGACGGAAGGAGUACGUUUGAAGUAGCGGUAAAAUGUUUUAAUCUCAGACGGACUAACAAUAGCGAAGGCACCUUUCGAGAACUGUUCUGACAGUAAGGGAUGAAGGCUAAGGGCGCAAAACGGAUUAGAUACCCGCGUAGUC
rnacentral:rRNA from 1 species